rnacentral:rRNA from 1 species
GGCCCUACGGGGCGCAGCAGGCGCGAAAACUUUACAAUGCGGGAAACCGUGAUAAGGGGACACCGAGUGCCAGCAUCAUAUGCUGGCUGUCCAGAUGUGUAAAAUACAUCUGUUAGCAAGGGCCGGGCAAGACCGGUGCCAGCCGCCGCGGUAACACCGGCGGCCCGAGUGGUGAUCGUGAUUAUUGGGUCUAAAGGGUCCGUAGCCGGUUUGGUCAGUCCUCCGGGAAAUCUGAUGGCUCAACCAUUAGGCUUUCGGGGGAUACUGCCAGGCUUGGAACCGGGAGAGGUAAGAGGUACUACAGGGGUAGGAGUGAAAUCUUGUAAUCCCUGUGAGACCACCUGUGGCGAAGGCGUCUUACCAGAACGGGUUCGACGGUGAGGGACGAAAGCUGGGGGCACGAACCGGAUUAGAUACCCGGGUAGUCCCAGCCGUAAACGAUGCUCGCUAGGUGUCAGGCAUGGCGCGACCGUGUCUGGUGCCGCAGGGAAGCCGUGAAGCGAGCCACCUGGGAAGUACGGCCGCAAGGCUGAAACUUAAAGGAAUUGGCGGGGGAGCACAACAACGGGUGGAGCCUGCGGUUUAAUUGGACUCAACGCCGGACAACUCACCGGGGACGACAGCAAUAUGUAGGCCAG